GACCUGCACAGCAGAUCUGAGCCCCUCUACUCAAAACCUAAGGCAUAAGGAAAAUGAUUUUGAUGGGUACAAGAGUCAUGAUAGGGUGCAUUCUCUGAUGACCCCAAAAUCUUAUAAUAAAAGCUUAUUUCUUACUUAAGCACAGUCCAAUACAUGACGGGUGGUUCUCCUCCAACUCAUGACUCAGGGAUCCAGGUUCACUACCUAUUGUACGUCUGCCACCCCAACAUCCGGCCUUCAUGUCCCAAUGGAAGGAAAAAAGGAUUGUGCCUGAGAGUUUGACGUACGAAGCCUGGAAGUGAUGCAGAGCACUUCCCCCUCCAUUCCAUUGCCUAGGACAGUCUAUGGCUCCACCUAACUGUGAGGAAAGCUGAAAAAGGUCAUCUGUGCACUCAUGAAGAGGAGAAGGAUGGGUAUUGCUGAUCAUCAGCAGUAUCUGUGGCGGUCAUUAAAAACAAACUAACAAAAAAACAAAGCAAGAUAAGACCCAGGGGUAAAGGGCAGCUACUAGGACUCAUCCAUGGGUUUAGCUUUGGAUAAGGCCCAUUUUAUAUUUGAUUUAUUUAACGUGUAGUAACAGACAGUGUUGCCUACAUAAAGCCACAUCCUUUUCCUUAAUCAGUAUCUUUUUGUGAAACCUAACACCCACAGAUUUCCAGGAAUCUAGGUCCUGCCUAUUUCCAGGAGGGUGACUCUUGAUCCAUUUAAUGAAAAAAUAGUAACUCCAUUUUCCUUGCUAGUGACUGGCUUAACUAUGAGCAACUGCCCCAAUUCUGGCCAAUAAGACAGGACUAGACAUCCUCCAGGUGGGCUUCUGGGAAAGAUUUCUUUUCCUGCUGAUAAUAGGAGAGAGAAGACAAUUAAGUGACUCUCCUUCUGCUGGAUGUUGUCAUCUGCAUGUGAUGCCUGGGGCAGCCCUCUGACACCAUGAGGGAUCCAGCCAAAGAGGAUAUUAAGGGUGGCAGAGUAGAGAGAUUGUGAUAAUAUCAACAAGACAGUGAAAUAAUGGACUCUGGACCUAUUAUACUUCUGGAAUUCUGGUUUUAUGAAAUAAUAACUUUUCUUUGCAGUUUACUCUAUUUUUGGAUGACUCUUUUUGCCAAUGCAGCCAAAAUCAUCCUGUUAGAUACAUGCUAAGCACUUUAGAUAUAUGCACUCCAAAAUGCAGCCAGUGGAGAUCUAAGGCCCAUCCAUAUCUACCUUCAUCAGAACAGGGAGCCAAGAGCUCCUGCCACUCUGGGCCCCUUGAGUUCCCAUUGUGGUUCAGCGGUAAUGAAGCCGACUAGUAUCCAUGGGGAUGGGGGUUUGAUCCCUGGCCUCACUCAGUAGAUAAGGAUCCGAUGUUGCCAUGAGCUGUGGUGUGGGUCACAGAUGCAGCUCAGAUCCUAUGUUGCUGUGGCUGUGGUAUAGGACAGCAGCUAUAGCUCCAAUUUGACCCUUAGCAUGGUAACUUCCAUAUGCUACAGAUGCAGCCCUAAAAAGCAAUAAAUAAAUAAAUAAAUAAAUCCAUAAGCACUUCAAGAAAGACCUGAAAUUCUGUCGAUGCUAAGUAUGUGCUCCUAUCAUUAUUAUUGUAGUAGCAGAAGCAGAAUUUUUUUAAUCUUUGAUUUGGAUACAAUUUUAAAGGCUACUUUCCAUUUACAGUUAUUAUAAAAUAUUAGCUAUAUUACCCAUGUUGAGAACUCUUGGUUUUUAUAAACUAAGGUAAACUUUAUCUGCUGCUAAAUGCCCCCUGAGUGUCCGUUUUGCCUCUUAACCCCCGCAGAACUUCAAGCAGAAGAAGAGGAUUCCAGACCUAGGACAGCACCUUCAGACUAGUCUCAUCAAGCUUCAAAAUCCUGAGACUUUCUUCAGAGCCAGUACAGAAUCAUGGUUAUGAACACAGGUUCUAGGGUCAGACUGAGUUCCAAGUGUCAGCUCUAGUAUUUGUUAACUGUUUCAAGAUUCAAUCAGAGAAACAGAACACACAGGCAAUAUACUGAAUAUACCACAUAUGCAUGAGGAGCUGGCUGAAAUCCACAAAUACAAGCUGGAGCACCACAAGCACAGACUGAAAUUCAUGUCAGUCCCUGCUGCCUCUGACCUUGUUGGUGUGGAUGUCCUGCAAAAGACAACACCUUCCUUCAUGGGGGUAAACACAGGAAUCAGAGAAGCUGGAGACAGUGAAGGACCAGCUGCCUUAUAUCAGUAGCAUGAGCCAGCUGGUCAGUAAUAAAAUGGCUAUAGUUUCCUUCCACUCUCCCAAUCUCUCAAGCCUGUUUAGUGACCCACCCUAACUGGAGUUGUGAUGGAAAGGGAAGUCUCAGAACCAGAGUUCAGCCUAGCCAGGCUGGUACAACACAAAGCUAACAUAGCUACAUUGUUAAAUUUCUCUAAGUAUCUGUGUCUUCUUCUAUAGGUAAGCGGGGAUAAUAAUAAUAUCUACCUCAUCAUGAGGCUAUGUUGGGGAUUAUUCUAAAUAAUGCCCGGAAAAUACUUAACACAGUACUAGGCAUCUAAUAAGUUCUCAAUAAAACUAUUAUUAUCAUUAUUGUUAAUAUUAUUGGAUUAAAUGUCCUUCAUUGAUGUUUAAAAGGAAAUCAGGUAUAGGAUUAGGAUAUUUAGUUUCUUGAGAAGAAACUACUAAAUUUCCUAUGUUUCUAAACAUAAGCCACUCAUUAUUCUGGGCAAUAAACAUUUACCACAGUCUUCAAGUGUAAGUUUUAUUAUUACCAUUUUAGAUGAGGCAGUUCAAAAAAUAACUAAGGAAGAGAAGGAGUUCCCUUGGGGAAAAGUGGGUUAAGGACCCAGUGUUGUUACUGCUGCAGUUUGAUCUCCGGCCCAGGAACUUCUGCAUGCUGCAGACACAGCCCAAGAUAAGGGGGCGGGGGGCGGGGGGAAUCAGUCUGAAAAAACUAAGAAACAGAGAAGUUAAGUAACUGGGCCCAAGGUCACACACCUAGUGACUGACAAUGUGUACUCUCUAUUGACAGAUGGAUACAGAUAAAGAUAUAGAUAUAUUGCCAAGAAGAAAAAAUACAGGGUGAUCAAAACUAGAUGAUGAGAAAGAAGCAUUUUAACUGCAAUUUGAAGGAUGAGCAGGAGUUAACCAUAUGAAGCAAGCAGAGAGAAGAGCAUAUAUAAAUGCACACUGGUAAGAAAGAGCCUGGCAUCUUAGAGGAAGAGAGAAGAGAUGGGAGGCAGGACUGGGGUAGAAGAGGGGAAGGGGCAGGGGGAAAGGCUGGCAGGGAGGGGUACAUUUCUACUUUAUCCUAAGUGGAAUGAGAAGAUGGUACAAGCUCUGUCUGGUUCACUUCAGUAUUCCCAGACCUGGAAUGGUGGCUCUUGGUAUAAGGUAGGACCUCGAUAAAUAUUUGCUGAUUGAAAGGAGAGCAUGGAGCAAUAAGAUCAAAUCUCCAGUUGCUAUAAAGUAUGCAUCCUGCCUCUCUUUGGUUCCCUCUUGUAACUUGGAACUCAUAGGUUAUUUUCUUUCUCUUGGUAGCCCUUUGAAUAUUUGAACAUGGCAGUCCUGUUCCUCUAGGUUUCCAUUUCUCCAGGCCAAGAGGCCCGUUCCAUAUUCAGGAACUCUAGUCAAUGCUGUCAAAAACAAAAAACAAAAACAAAAACAAAAAAAAACUUGGUAGGGAAAGAAAAAAAGAACUUCCUCAAUGAUAUUUGUGCUCUCUUUCUGUGCCAUCCAAUAUGGUGGCCACUAGUGCCACGUGGCUAAUGAGCACUUGAGUUAUGGUCAAUGUGACUGGGGGACUAGAUUUCAAAUUUUAUUUAAAUUUUAAAAUUUAAUUUAACUUAUGUUUUAAGUUUUAUUAAGUAAUUUGAAAUUGAAUGGUUCCAUGUGGCUAGAGGCUGCUGAAUUUGUUGGACAGUGCAGCUCUAGUUCUACACUCUGACUCUUUUUCUGAUGAUAAGUAGGACAUCUCUGCAUUUUCUCUGAGCUUCUCACUUUCCUUACCUUCCUCUCCUCCAUAAUUAACCAAUUCUGACACCGACACCCUGUGUUGGCUUUCUAUUUCAUGCCAGCUGAUUUAGUAUACAAGGUCUAAAGAUUAGCUGGCAGGUACCAGCUUUCAGAGCAGCAAUUUUUUGCUUUCUGAAUUACAGAAUUCUUCUUAGUGAUGAGUGCACUACCAUAUUUAUAUAUAUAGUUUCUAAGAACCAAAGUGAGGAUCGGGUAGAGAUCUGCCAGUGCGUUCCUUAUUUACACUGUAAAAGGUAAAUGUUUACUUAAUUUAAUGCUGUGAGACCAAGAAUUAGUGGAUAUAUAUUAACAUGAUCUUGGUUCCUGUGCCAUAGGAUUUGACUCUCUGUUAAAUAUAUUUAGUCACCAAGGUAUUUGCUAGCAAAAUUAGCAAAAUCCAAUAAUGCCCAAUAAUGCCCAACAGAAAUCAAAUCAGCAAAGAGGAAAGAGGACUCUCCUAGGAAAUGCAGAUGAAGAUCAGACAGUCUUUUGACAAAGUCUGGGAGCUUCCCCACCUGGUUACCAUCUAGAGAAUCAAACAGUAUAAAAUGAAGAAUUAAUAAUGAUAGAAGAGAUUAGAAAAGAGAUCAGGGAAUGAAAUGCACUGAAUCUGAAAGCAGGAAAGAUCUUUUGAAAUGAGACAGGAGAGUGCUUCCAGAACUUGAAGGUUUUAUCGCUCUGCACUCAUUCUCUGAAUGCAUGCCAUGUGCCAGGCAUUAGGACACAAAGUCAAAGGACAUGGUGCCUGCCCCCAAGGAGCUCAUGGUCUACAGGGGAAACAAACAUGUACACAUGCACAUUCCUCCAAUAGGUACAGUUGCCAGAUUUAGAAAAUAAAAAUAUGGAAUAUCAAGUUAAAUUUGAAUAAAAAUGAAUAAUUUUUAGUGUAAGUAUAUCCCUUGCAAUAUUUGGGACAUACUUAUACUAAAAACGUUUGUUUAUUUGAAAUUUAAAUGUAACAUUUUUAUCUGGCAAUUCUAAAUACAGAGUCAUAAAUGCAAUGAUGAAGGUAUUAGGUACUACAAGAACAAAUCCAAAAGACAUGGACCUCAGAGUACAUGUCAGAAAAGGAUCACAAAGAGGGUUAAGCUGAAGCCAAAACUUUCCCAACCAAUGGAAGAUAGCCAGGUGAAAAGAAUCUAAAAGCAUCAUCAUGCACAAAGGCACUGCAAUUUGAGAGGACAGAGCAUAUUUGGUGAAAGUAGCUUAACAGGGGUAGAAUAAGAAAUAAAUAGAAUCUCAAUAACUUUCUGGGAGAAAAGCCAAAGUCAGAACCCUAGAAUAACAGUACCACCUAAGGGCUUGACAGAGAAAAGAGAGUUCACGAAAUGAACAAGAAGGAAUAGUAUGAGAAGGAAAAAGACAACCAUGAAGCCAAGAAGGGAGAAGUCCACAGUGACAAAUGCUGUAGGCAGGCCAUGUAGAAUAAGAGAAGUUCCUUGACUCUGCCAACGGCGAUGGCCUCAGUGACCCUGACACAUCCAUCCCAGUGAAAUGCAGUGGCAGCAGGUUGAGACAGACCAUGGAGGGGGCGAGAAUAGGAGGAAGCAAGGUUAGACAUGGCUUUCAAAAAGUCUGCUUGUGAAAGAAGUACAAGGCUUAGACCUGGACAAAAAGGGGACUUGCCUGGGUCCUGAACUUCAGGGAAGACCCAGCCUGGCUCCCCUCCAGCUCCACCCAUGUCCAUGUGGCCAAGGGGACAUGUUCACCCAGAGCCCAUAAGCUCCCUUUCAGGCUCUAGAAGUCUUUGCUCACAUGGACCAAGACUAUUCUCAAAGACUACGUGAACCUCUUCCUAGGUCUGUCUUCUAAAGGGUAGACAAGGUCACAAGUUUAGGUCCCUAAACCUGAGGCAUGGGCCAGAGGUGGCUGUCUGGUGGAUGGAUCUUUGGUAUAAGAACCAGGUGACCACACUCUUGGAAGCAUGGCGCUUCAUGAGGUAGGAUGGAGUCAGAAUGGGAAGUCAAGUAGGAUGGGCCACAGGCUUCCAUCUAUAGUUUAGUCUCAGGCUUCACAAAAGUUAGAAGAAAUCUGUGAGAAGAUGCGGUUAGAAUGCACUUAAGGCCAAGAGAGAGUCCUUUUGAAAUGAGCAUAAUUUGAAAGAACCUGUGGCGAAGGGGGAUGUCGAAGCUAUAGACAGAGGGAAUCAUAACAAAAACCUCCUGGAUCAGUC
rnacentral:lncRNA from 1 species